CGGGACGGGUGAGUAAUGUCUGGGAAACUGCCUGAUGGAGGGGGAUAACUACUGGAAACGGUAGCUAAUACCGCAUAACGUCGCAAGACCAAAGAGGGGGACCUUCGGGCCUCCUGCCAUCGGAUGUGCCCAGAUGGGAUUAGCUAGUAGGUGGGGUAACGGCUCACCUAGGCGACGAUCCCUAGCUGGUCUGAGAGGAUGCCAGCCACACUGGAACUGAGACACGGUCCAG
rnacentral:rRNA from 1 species